GAGGAGAUCGAGGUCAACGGGAGCAGAGAUCGAAGCAUGCAUACAUACGGAAAAACCAGCAUUCGCAGGGGAACUCGUGUGCUGAUCUGAUCUCUAGGCCAGCUCGCUCGCUCGCCGGCCGGCCGCCGCCACCACCACUCUGCACACCCAAAAUCCAUCACGGAGAACGACGAGCGCGUGCCAUGCAUCUCACGAACUUGUUUGCUGAUGGU
rnacentral:lncRNA from 1 species